GUACGGGGGGGGCAAGCGUUGUUCGGAAUUACUGGGCGUAAAGGGCGCGUAGGCGGUUUGCUAAGUUGAAUGUGAAAACUCUGGGCUUAACCCAGAGCCUGCAUUCAAUACUGGCAGGCUAGAGUUCUGGAGGGGAUAGCGGAAUUCCUGGUGUAGCGGUGAAAUGCGUAGAUAUCAGGAGGAACACCGGUGGCGAAGGCGGCUAUCUGGACAGAGUCUGACGCUGAGGCGCGAAAGCUAGGGGAGCAAACAGG
rnacentral:rRNA from 1 species